GUUAAACAGAAAAAGGCUCGGGAAGAUUUCAGGAUAAUGUUAGAAGAUUGCAAGGAGCUGUCACCAUCGUCAAGAUGGAGUAAGGCAAUCUCCAUAUUCGAACAUGAUGAACGUUUUAAAGCUGUUGAGCGAGCUAAAGACCGUGACGACCUUUUUGAAGAUUAUGUGGAGGAACUUGA